GUCGAGCGGAACGAUGGUAGCUUGCUACCAGGCGUCGAGCGGCGGACGGGUGAGUAACGCGUGAGAAUCUGCCCAUUUGUGGGGGAUAACUCGGGGAAACUCGAGCUAAUACCGCAUAAUCCCUACGGGGGAAAGCAGGGGACCUUCGGGCCUUGUGCAGAUGGAUGAGCUCGCGUCGGAUUAGCUUGUUGGUGAGGUAAAGGCUCACCAAGGCGACGAUCCGUAGCUGGUCUGAGAGGAUGAUCAGCCACACCGGGACUGAGACACGGCCCGGACUCCUACGGGAGGCAGCAGUGGGGAAUCUUGGACAAUGGGGGCAACCCUGAUCCAGCCAUGCCGCGUGUGUGAAGAAGGCCUUCGGGUUGUAAAGCACUUUCAGUAGGGAGGAAGGCUUACCGCUAAUAACGGUGAGUACUUGACGUUACCUACAGAAGAAGCACCGGCUAAUUUCGUGCCAGCAGCCGCGGUAAUACGAAAGGUGCGAGCGUUAAUCGGAAUUACUGGGCGUAAAGCGCGCGUAGGCGGUUUGUUAAGUCAGAUGUGAAAGCCCCGGGCUCAACCUGGGAAUUGCAUUUGAAACUGGCAGGCUAGAGUGCAGUAGAGGGAGGUGGAAUUUCCGGUGUAGCGGUGAAAUGCGUAGAGAUCGGAAGGAACACCAGUGGCGAAGGCGGCCUCCUGGACUGACACUGACGCUGAGGUGC
rnacentral:rRNA from 1 species